rnacentral:hammerhead_ribozyme from 1 species
ACACUGCUGAGGAGUCCCACAUAGGACGAAACGGCCAUUCAGUGC